GAUUCUGGCUCAGGAUGAACGCUGGCGGCGUGCUUAACACAUGCAAGUCGAACGAAGCCAAAAGGAAGCUUGCUUCUUGAAGCUAGUGGCGGACGGGUGAGUAACGCGUGAGGAACCUGCCCUUCAGUGGGGAAUAACAGCCGGAAACGACUGCUAAUACCGCAUAAUGUCGGAGUGCCGCAUGACACACCGACCAAAGGAUUUAUUCGCUGAAGGAUGGCCUCGCGUCCGAUUAGGCAGUUGGUGAGGUAACGGCCCACCAAACCUACGAUCGGUAGCCGAACUGAGAGGUUGAUCGGCCACAUUGGGACUGAGACACGGCCCAGACUCCUACGGGAGGCAGCAGUGGGGAAUAUUGGGCAAUGGGCGAAAGCCCUGACCCAGCAACGCCGCGUGAAGGAAGACGGUCUUCGGAUUGUAAACUUCUUUGAUUGGGGAAGAACACAAUGACCUACCCAAAGAACAAGUCACGGCUAACUACGUGCCAGCCGCCGC
rnacentral:rRNA from 1 species